rnacentral:rRNA from 1 species
CGCAAGAUUAAAACUCAAAUGAAUUGACGGGGGCCCGCACAAGCGGUGGAGCAUGUGGUUUAAUUCGAUGCAACGCGAAGAACCUUACCUACUCUUGACAUCCAGAGAACUUUCCAGAGAUGGAUUGGUGCCUUCGGGAACUCUGAGACAGGUGCUGCAUGGCUGUCGUCAGCUCGUGUUGUGAAAUGUUGGGUUAAGUCCCGCAACGAGCGCAACCCUUAUCCUUGUUUGCCAGCACUUCGGGUGGGAACUCCAGGGAGACUGCCGGUGAUAAACCGGAGGAAGGUGGGGACGACGUCAAGUCAUCAUGGCCCUUACGAGUAGGGCUACACACGUGCUACAAUGGCGCAUACAGAGGGCAGCCAACUUGCGAGAGUGAGCGAAUCCCAAAAAGUGCGUCGUAGUCCGGAUCGGAGUCUGCAACUCGACUCCGUGAAGUCGGAAUCGCUAGUAAUCGUGGAUCAGAAUGCCACGGUGAAUACGUUCCCGGGCCUUGUACACACCGCCCGUCACACCAUGGGAGUGGGCUGCAAAAGAAGUAGGUAGUUUAACCUUCGGGAGGACGCUUAC